AGCGAACGCUGGCGGCAGGCUUAACACAUGCAAGUCGAACGCCCCCUUCGGGGGGAGUGGCAGACGGGUGCGUAACGCGUGGGAAUAUACCUUUUAGUUCGGAAUAACUCAGGGAAACUUGUGCUAAUACCGGAUACGCCCGCGAGGGGAAAGAUUUAUCGCUAAAAGAUUAGCCCGCGUGUGAUUAGCUAGUUGGUGAGGUAAUGGCUCGCCAAGGCGACGAUCAGUAGCUGGGCUAAGAGGAUGAUCAGCCACACUGGGAUUGAGAAACGGCCCAGACUCCUACGGGAGGCAGCAGUGGGGAAUAUGGGACAAUGGGCGCAAGCCUGAUCCAGCCAUGCCGCGUGAGUGAAGAAGGCCUUAGGGUUGUAAAGCUCUUUUGUGUGGGAAGAUAAUGACUGUACCACAAGAAUAAGCCCCGGCUAACUUCGUGCCAGCAGCCGCAGUAA
rnacentral:rRNA from 1 species